CCUACGGUGGCUGCAGUGGGGAAUAUUGCACAAUGGGGGGAACCCUGAUGCAGCGACGCCGCGUGAGUGAAGAAGUAUUUCGGUAUGUAAAGCUCUAUCAGCAGGGAAGAAAAUGACGGUACCUGACUAAGAAGCCCCGGCUAACUACGUGCCAGCAGCCGCGGUAAUACGUAGGGGGCAAGCGUUAUCCGGAUUUACUGGGUGUAAAGGGAGCGCAGACGGCUGUGCAAGUCUGGAGUGAAAGGCGGGGGCCCAACCCCCGGACUGCUCUGGAAACUGUAAAGCUGGAGUGCAGGAGAGGUAAGCGGAAUUCCGAGUGUAGCGGUGAAAGGCGUAGAUAUUAGGAGGAACACCAGUGGCGAGGGCGGCUUACUGGACUGCAACUGACGUUGAGGCUCGAAAGCGUGGGGAGCAAACAUGAUUAGAUCCCCUAGUAGUC
rnacentral:rRNA from 1 species